UCGGAGUAACUGCCGGUACCUUGACGGUACCUGACCAGAAAGCCACGGCUAACUACGUGCCAGCAGCCGCGGUAAUACGUAGGUGGCAAGCGUUGUCCGGAAUUAUUGGGCGUAAAGCGCGCGCAGGCGGUCCUUUAAGUCUGAUGUGAAAUCCCGUGGCUUAACCACGGGCGGUCAUUGGAAACUGGGGGACUUGAGUGCAGAAGAGAAGAGCGGAAUUCCACGUGUAGCGGUGAAAUGCGUAGAGAUGUGGAGGAACACCAGUGGCGAAGGCGGCUCUUUGGUCUGUAACUGACGCUGAGGCGCGAAAGCGUGGGGAGCGAACAGGAUUAGAUACCCUGGUAGUCCACGCCGUAAACGAUGAGUGCUAAGUGUUAGAGGGUUUCCGCCCUUUAGUGCUGCAGUUAACGCAUUAAGCACUCCGCCUGGGGAGUACGGCCGCAAGGCUGAAACUCAAAGGAAUUGACGGGGGCCCGCACAAGCGGUGGAGCAUGUGGUUUAAUUCGAAGCAACGCGAAGAACCUUACCAGGUCUUGACAUCCCGCUGCCCGGUCUGGAGACAGAUCUUUCCCUUCGGGGACAGCGGUGACAGGUGGUGCAUGGUUGUCGUCAGCUCGUGUCGUGAGAUGUUGGGUUAAGUCCCGCAACGAGCGCAACCCUUGACCUUAGUUGCCAGCAUUUAGUUGGGCACUCUAAGGUGACUGCCGGUGACAAACCGGAGGAAGGUGGGGAUGACGUCAAAUCAUCAUGCCCCUUAUGACCUGGGCUACACACGUGCUACAAUGGACGGUACAAAGGGCUGCAAACCCGCGAGGGGGAGCCAAUCCCAUAAAACCGUUCCCAGUUCGGAUUGCAGGCUGCAACUCGCCUGCAUGAAGCCGGAAUCGCUAGUAAUCGUGGAUCAGCAUGCCACGGUGAAUACGUUCCCGGGUCUUGUACACACCGCCCGUCACACCACGAGAGUUUGUAACACCCGAAGUCGGUGGGGUAACCCUUACGGGAGCCAGCCGCCGAAGGUGGGACAGAUGAUUGGGGUGAAGUCGUAACAAGGUAACC
rnacentral:rRNA from 1 species